rnacentral:piRNA from 1 species
UCAUAACUGUCACAAAGGUCAUCUUCAGA